AAGCCCAUGGAAAGGGAAUAGUCUUAACAAAUCUUUAUAAUGCUCUCACACAUCAAACAAGUAUUCCCUAUUUUCUUGCCUAAAGUUGUUUAUCUCAUUCCUAACUU